AGAGCGAACGCUGGCGGCAGGCUUAACACAUGCAAGUCGAGCGGGCGUAGCAAUACGUCAGCGGCAGACGGGUGAGUAACGCGUGGGAACAUACCUUUUGGUUCGGAACAACACAGGGAAACUUGUGCUAAUACCGGAUAAGCCCUUACGGGGAAAGAUUUAUCGCCGAAAGAUUGGCCCGCGUCUGAUUAGCUAGUUGGUGAGGUAACGGCUCACCAAGGCGACGAUCAGUAGCUGGUCUGAGAGGAUGAUCAGCCACAUUGGGACUGAGACACGGCCCAAACUCCUACGGGAGGCCAGCAGUGGGGAAUAUUGGACAAUGGGCGCAAGCCUGAUCCAGCCAUGCCGCGUGAGUGAUGAAGGCCCUAGGGUGUAAAGCUCUUUUGUGCGGGAAGAUAAUGACGGUACCGCAAGAUAAGCCCCGGCUAACUUCGCGCCAGCAGCCGC
rnacentral:rRNA from 1 species